rnacentral:rRNA from 1 species
CAGAGGUGGCAAGCGUUGUUCGGAAUUACUGGGCGUAAAGGGCGCGUAGGCGGCCAUCUAAGUCAGACGUGAAAUCCCCCGGCUUAACCUGGGAACUGCGUCUGAUACUGGAAGGCUUGAGUAUGGGAGAGGGAUGUAGAAUUCCAGGUGUAGCGGUGAAAUGCGUAGAUAUCUGGAGGAAUACCGGUGGCGAAGGCGGCAUCCUGGACCAUUACUGACGCUGAGGCGCGAAAGCUAGGGGAGCAAACGGGAUUAGAUACCCCGGUAGUCCUAGCCCUAAACGAUGAAUGCUUGGUGUGGCGGGUAUCGAUCCCCGCCGUGCCGAAGCUAACGCAUUAAGCAUUCCGCCUGGGGAGUACGGUCGCAAGGCUG